rnacentral:rRNA from 1 species
GAUGAACGCUGGCGGCGUGCCUAAUACAUGCAAGUCGAGCGAACGGACGAGAUGCUUGCUUCUCUGAUGUUAGCGGCGGACGGGUGAGUAACACGUGGAUAACCUACCUAUAAGACUGGGAUAACUUCGGGAAACCGUAGCUAAUACCGGAUAAUAUUUUGAACCGCAUGGUUCAAAAGUGAAAGACGGUCUUGCUGUCACUUAUAGAUGGAUCCGCGCUGCAUUAGCUAGUUGGUAAGGUAACGGCUUACCAAGGCAACGAUGCAUAGCCGACCUGAGAGGGUGAUCGGCCACACUGGAACUGAGACACGGUCCAGACUCCUACGGGAGGCAGCAGUAGGGAAUCUUCCGCAAUGGGCGAAAGCCUGACGGAGCAACGCCGCGUGAGUGAUGAAGGUCUUCGGAUCGUAAAACUCUGUUAUUAGGGAAGAACAUAUGUGUAAGUAACUGUGCACAUCUUGACGGUACCUAAUCAGAAAGCCACGGCUAACUACGUG